rnacentral:rRNA from 1 species
UACGAAGGUGGCAAGCGUUGUUCGGAUUUACUGGGCGUACAGGGAGCGUAGGCGGUUGGAUAAGCCCUCCGUGAAAUCUCCAGGCUUAACCUGGAAAGUGCAGAGGGGACUGUUCAGCUAGAGGAUGGGAGAGGAGCGCGGAAUUCCCGGUGUAGCGGUGAAAUGCGUAGAGAUCGGGAAGAACAUCAGUGGCGAAGGCGGCUUUCUGGGCCUUACCUGACGCUGAGACGCGAAAGCGUGGGGAGCGAACCGG